CACGCCAGGUGGCUUGUAUGUUUACGUCCGGUGUAUACAGCAUAGACAUACACGUGGAUAGCUCAAAAUACAUACAGAUAACACGCCACUUGGCUUAAGAAAGUGGGCGUGUAUGUUUACGCAAAGUCAUGAUGCCAUGUUGAUGUGGCAGUAAAUGUGGCACAUGGGACUGG